UUGCUGAUGCAAUUAGACAGAUUGAAGAGUUGAAAUCCAUAAGCAACUCAAAUGAAGAAGCUAUUGAAUCAAGCAAGCAUAGGAAUCAAAAUCCAGAGGACAAGGAACUGGGAUCCGAGGCUUAUGGUAAUCUCGGGCUUCAGAAGCCAAUACAUGAAACUUCUGAAGAGGGGACUGAAGUGAUGACGAAAGACAUAAUGCUUGAUC
rnacentral:misc_RNA from 1 species